rnacentral:rRNA from 1 species
AUGGGAAUUUAAACCUCUUCCAGAGUAUCAAUUGGAGGGCAAGUCUGGUGCCAGCAGCCGCGGUAAUUCCAGCUCCAAUAGCGUAUAUUAAAAUUGUUGCAGUUAAAAAGCUCGUAGUUGAAUUUCUGCUGCAUUGCUUGUGUCCCUCUGGGGUCUGUGCAUGUGGCUUUUUUCGGACGGAGUUUCUUUGUCUGAAUGUUUACUUUGAGAAAAUUAGAGUGCUCAAAGCAGGCUUUCGCCUUGAAUAGUUUAGCAUGGAAUAAUAAAGUAGGACUUUGGUUCUAUUUUGUUGGUUUUAGGUACCAAAGUAAUGGUUAAUAGGAACAGUUGGGGGCAUUCGUAUUUAACUGUCAGAGGUGAAAUUCUUAGA